AGAUCAAAAUGGAUAGCUUUCAGUUUCAGCAAAACCAAAAUAACGGAGGUUUCCAGCCAAAUAUGCAAAAUAUUCAAGGCUUCAACUCAUUACCGCCUUUUCCACAGCAGGUCAAUAAUCCUCCGCCACCAUUUCAACCAAUUAUGUCUAAUCCGCCCUUUGCACCCACGAUGACAACGAAUGGAACACACGCGAGUGCAAUGGUUGGACUACCUUCUCAAGUGGUCACACCAACUCCUCAAAACGGGCAAGCCCCUCUUGUCAUGGACGAUAGUGCCGCUGCAAUUGCGACGAAAAGAAACUAUCGACAGUACAUGAACCGCAAAGGUGGCUUUAAUCGGCCGUUGGAUUUUGUUGCUUGAACUCUCGUCAUUUUCUUAACGACGUUGGAAAACAAGGAAUGGAGACGAUAUGCAGAUGGAAGACGUUGUUUUUCGAAGAAGUUAUAUCUCUUGAAGCUAGUUUAUCAGCUGAAAGUUUUUAGUAUCAGUGAUUUGUUAUGUGCAAUUUUAUUUUUCUAAAAAUCGAAUUGUUUAUAAAAACAACAAUGAUAUCCGGUUGCUAUGAAAGUUGCACAGAAUGGUCCGACCACAUUGAUUGAAGGACAAUUUUUUAAAUAA